rnacentral:rRNA from 1 species
UAGGGAAUCUUCCGCAAUGGACGCAAGUCUGACGGAGCAACGCCGCGUGAGUGAAGAAGGAUUUCGGUUCGUAAAACUCUGUUGUUAGAGAAGAACAGCGCAUAGAGUAACUGUUAUGCGUGUGACGGUAUCUAACCAGAAAGCCACGGCUAACUACGUGCCAGCAGCCGCGGUAAUACGUAGGUGGCAAGCGUUGUCCGGAUUUAUUGGGCGUAAAGCGAGCGCAGGCGGUCAAUUAAGUCUGAUGUGAAAGCCCCCGGCUCAACCGGGGAGGGUCAUUGGCAACUGGUUGACUUGAGUGCAGAAGAGGAGAAUGGAAUUCCAUGUGUAGCGGUGAAAUGCGUAGAUAUAUGGAGGAACACCAGUGGCGAAGGCGAAUCUCUGGUCUGUAACUGAAGCUGAGGCUCGAAAGCGUGGGUAGCAAACAGG